rnacentral:rRNA from 1 species
UACGUAGGCAGCGAGCGUUGUUCGGAGUUACUGGGCGUAAAGAGUGCGUAGGCGGUGCUCCAAGUCUGGUGUGAAAUCUCCCGGCUUAACCGGGAGGGUGCGCCGGAAACUGGGGUGCUGGAGUGUGGGAGAGGUAAGCGGAAUUCCGGGUGUAGCGGUGGAAUGCGUAGAGAUCCGGAAGAACACCGGUGGCGAAGGCGGCCUGCUGGGCAGUUUAGCUGACACUGAGGCGCGACAGCGUGGGGAGCAAACAGG